GCUCACUUCAGUAGUGCAUACACUAAAACUGAAAUGAUACAGAGAAGAUAACCAUGGCCCUUGUGCUAGGAUGACAUGCAAAUUCGUGAAGGGUUCCAUACCAUG
rnacentral:snRNA from 1 species